rnacentral:rRNA from 1 species
UACGUAGGUGUCGAGCGUUGUCCGGAUUUAUUGGGCGUAAAGAGCCCGCAGGCGGCUUGUCUAGUCCGAGGUGAAAUCUCCCGGCUUAACUGGGAGGGUGCGCCGUAGACUGUGGGGCUAGAGUGUGGGAGAGGAAAGUGGAAUUCCUGGUGUAGCGGUGAAAUGCGUAGAUAUCAGGAGGAACACCGGUGGUGUAAACGGCUUUCUGGACCAUAACUGACACUGAGGCACGAAAGCGUGGGUAGCAAACAGG